CUGAUAUAAAGAUAUGGACUCCAAGAGCUGUUGAGAGAGCUACUCUUCCUACAAACAUUGAAAAGGUAUGCUUCAUGGUUUAUAGCAUUGAUCUAGUCACUGGAAGCAUAUCCAUGAAACUUUUAAUUUAAUUGUUGUCAAGGGCUUCGCUGGGUUAUUGUAACUUCUAAAUGAGAAAAAGAUGACUUAUAGUUUGUACACAUGACAUUAUGACAAAGUUGGAAAAGACUGUCUCUUGGCUUCUAGGAGAAGAGUUAACUUUAGUUGGAUUGAUGUAAAUGUUUCUUUUGGUGGCUUAUCGUCGUGACGUAGAACAUAGAAUUAUUAUUAUUAUUAAUAAUUUUUUUUUUUUUGGGAAACCAACAAUCUGAAAUUUAAUUCAGUUAUGUAUCAUCCAAAAAAUGUUGAAAGGUCUGUAAUGAUACUUAGGCAUCACAAAAUAAGCCAUUGCCCUAAUAACAAAUAAGAAUACACUAAUUAACCCAAAUAACUAUUCUCUAUAUUUCUUUCCAAGUUGUGUAGUCCUAAAAUCCCCCCAAUUUGUAGUCCCACAUCACUUUUAGCAUAUCUACUUAAAUUAUACUAGCAAACCCUGGCCAAGUUUUGAGUUUUUGGCCAGACACAUAAUUAAAAACUAAAUUUCUAUUCAUCACUAUUAGAGAAUGUUGCAAUGGGGGGUUGGUACUUCUUUUAGGCAUUCUAGACCGUAGGUAAUUCAUUGUUUUUCUUAUUUCACAUGUGAGAGAAAGAGGGCAUGUACCUAUUUGAUUCCACUGUUGGAAAAGGGGGAAAUUACAAAAAUGAAGGUUUUUCGGAGACUUCUGUUGAGUCUGAUCUAAUUGGGUUAUUCAACUGAUGUAUAGAAGUUUUGAGGAAUAAUUAAUGUUUGUGCCAAUAUUAUCUUUGCUGUUACUUGUUUGGAAAAGGUUCUAAUGCGUAAUUGACGAUGAUGAUUAUAUCUCUGAUGAUGAUGAUGACGACAAUAACGACAAUGGUGAUGGUGGUUGUGGUGGUGGUGAUGAUGGCACUGAUGAUGAUGAUAGCGAUAAGGAUGAUGAUAAUUUUGUUGACGGUUAUGAUGAUGCGAAUGAUAAUUCUGAUUAAGACUUUCUUUGUUCAGCUGAAACCGAAGGCUAGGGGCUGGAUGUCCCAAGUAGCUUCACCAGAGGACCUGAUGUUGCAACUAUUUUCGAUGCAAAGGCAGAGGACUAUCCCAGAGCAGAAUGGCGAGAGCUCAGCUGCUGGUAGAGAACUUCUAGAACUUAUAUUGACAUUCAAUGCCAACAGUGAUUCAGAUGAUGGAGGUGAUUCAUCAAGUCGUGAUGACUUGUUUGGCUAGGAGAUAAUUGGCUGCCUUUGGCCUAUAAGAACCAUAGUAAUUGUACAUAACAUAUUGUAUAAGUCAAGCUAUUUUGUGAAGCCUCACAAAUUUUAAUGCCUAAGUGGCUAUUUUAUUCAAGUUUUCUCAUUCAUUAAUGCUUUUUUUCUCUUUUCCUAUAGUUAAUUCAUUUUCAUUCCUUGAGGGAAAAAAUAUCAUUCUCAUUCAUUAAUAGUUCUCAUUUCUGUCGUUAUUUUUGCUUGUCAAUUUAUUAGUUGAUUGUUUUGUAAAAGUUUG
rnacentral:misc_RNA from 1 species